rnacentral:rRNA from 1 species
AAACCAGCACCUCAAGUGGUCAGGAGGUUUAUUGGGCCUAAAGCAUCCGUAGCCUGAUCUAUAAGUUUCCGGUUAAAUCCACAUGCUCAACAUUUGGGCUGCCGGAAAAACUGUAGAUCUAGGGAGUGGGAGAGGUAGACGGUACUCGAUAGGAAGGGGUAAAAUCCUUUGAUCUAUUGAUGACCACCAGUGGCGAAGGCGGUCUACCAGAACACGUUCGACGGUGAGGGAUGAAAGCUGGGGGAGCAAACCGGAUUAGAAACCCUGGUAGUCC